UCUUCAUCUCGCACACUAUCUCAUUGGUCAGAGCUGCGAGAGAGUGUGUGAAAUGGAGAGA
rfam:Pristionchus pacificus strain PS312 contig3340, whole genome shotgun sequence.